rnacentral:rRNA from 1 species
CCUACGGGCGGCAGCAGUGAGGAAUAUUCGACAAUGGACGAGAGUCUGAACCAGCCACGUAGCGUGAAGGAUGACUGCUCUAUGGGCUGUAAACUUCUUUUAUAUGGGAAUAAAAUGUUCCACGUGUGGGAUUUUGUAUGUACCAUAUGAAUUAGGAUCGGCUAAGUUCGUGCCAGCAGCCGCGGUAAUAUGGAGGAUCCGAGCGUUAGCCGGAUUUAUUGGGUUUAAAGGGAGCGUAGGUGGAUUGUUAAGUCAGUUGUGAAAGUUUGCGGCUCAACCGGAAAAUUGCAGUUGAUACUGGCAGUCUUGAGUACAGUAGAGGUGGGCGGAAUUCGUGGUGUAGCGGUGGAAUGCUUAGAUAUCACGAAGAACUCCGAUUGCGAAGGCAGUUCACUGGUCUGCAACUGACACUGAGGCUCGAAAGUGUGGGUAUCAAACAGGAUUAGAUACCCCUGUAGUC